UUAGAAUCUAGUUUAAAAAUUAUAAUGUGAUCUGCAGACGGUGCUGAUGUCUCGGGGCUUCACGACCGAGUUCUGUGGGGGUAGAUCUAGGUGAUGUCCUCCAAGCCAUACUAUAUUGCUUCCAGUUUAGUCCUUGGCGGCGAUUCGUUUUUUGUUUUAGUGGUGAAGCGUUAGCGGUUAAGCUUGGUGAGAAGGGGAGACGAUUGGUCUGAGGUUUUGUUUAUCCACCGGUUUCUCUUUGAUCUUCUCCUAGAUUGCUUUCUAAAAGGAGAACCGAGACCAGAGCUAAGGUUUUUGGUUGGGUGGAGGCGAGUUGGUCAUGGAGUGUGGUUUGGCCUAUCCACUCACUAGCUCCGAACCGGCAAAACCCCUAUGUUCUGUUCUGUCGACUCCUCCUUGUUAUGGUGGUAACAAAUUCUUCGUCCGGCUCAGAACUCAAGUUGGUCUUGAUUUUAGCUAACAUGACCACUGCAAAAGUGCUUUAGCUCCGUCAAGUUUGUGUGUUCGGCCUGAUUCUUGAUUUUGUAUUUUUAGCCAUGGUUUAGAGUGUACCGACCAUGUUUCUUAAGGUUUUAGCUUAAAUUUUUUUCUUUUUUUUUUUCUUUUCUAGUUGCAUUGUAUUAAAGAUAUAGUGAAAAUUCUGUAAACUAAUAAUGUCGAGAUUUUUAUUAUUUA